rnacentral:rRNA from 1 species
UACGUAGGUGGCAAGCGUUUGUCCGGAAUUAUUGGGCGUAAAGCGCGCGCAGGUGGUUCCUUAAGUCUGAUGUGAAAGCCCACGGCUCAACCGUGGAGGGUCAUUGGAAACUGGGGAACUUGAGUGCAGAAGAGGAAAGUGGAAUUCCAAGUGUAGCGGUGAAAUGCGUAGAGAUUUGGAGGAACACCAGUGGCGAAGGCAGCUCGCUGGGACGUUACUGACGCUGAGA